rnacentral:rRNA from 1 species
GGGUAGUUUGACUGGGGCGGUCUCCUCCUAAAGAGUAACGGAGGAGCACGAAGGUUGGCUAAUCCUGGUCGGACAUCAGGAGGUUAGUGCAAUGGCAUAAGCCAGCUUGACUGCGAGCGUGACGGCGCGAGCAGGUGCGAAAGCAGGUCAUAGUGAUCCGGUGGUUCUGAAUGGAAGGGCCAUCGCUCAACGGAUAAAAGGUACUCCGGGGAUAACAGGCUGAUACCGCCCAAGAGUUCAUAUCGACGGCGGUGUUUGGCACCUCGAUGUCGGCUCAUCACAUCCUGGGGCUGAAGUAGGUCCCAAGGGUAUGGCUGUUCGCCAUUUAAAGUGGUACGCGAGCUGGGUUUAGAACGUCGUGAGACAGUUCGGUCCCUAUCUGCCGUGGGCGCUGGAGAACUGAGGGGGGCUGCUCCUAGUACGAGAGGACCGGAGUGGACGCAUCACUGGUGUUCGGGUUGUCAUGCCAAUGGCACUGCCCGGUAGCUAAAUGCGGAAGAGAUAAGUGCUGAAAGCAUCUAAGCACGAAACUUGCCCCGAGAUGAGUUCUCCCUGACUCCUUGAGAGUCCUGAAGGAACGUUGAAGACGACGACGUUGAUAGGCC